GACGAACCGUGCGAACGUUGUUCGGAAUCACUGGGCUUAAAGGGCGCGUAGGCGGCUGCACAAGUCCGGGGUGAAAGCCCCCAGCUCAACUGGGGAAGUGCCUUGGAAACUGUGUAGCUCGAGGGAGGUAGGGGUCGUGGGAACUUCCGGUGGAGCGGUGAAAUGCGUUGAUAUCGGAAGGAACGCCGGUGGCGAAAGCGCACGACUGGACCUCUGCUGACGCUGAGGCGCGAAAGCCAGGGGAGCAAACGGG
rnacentral:rRNA from 1 species